ACCACUGGUGGACCUGUUGUGGCGCCAGCCGCAGUGCAGGGUAGCUAUGUCCGGACAGGAUAACCGCUGAAGGCAUCUAAGCGGGAAGCCCCCCUCAAAACAAGGUAUCCCCGAGGGCCGUGGUAGACCACCACGUCGAUAGGCCGGAGAUGUAAGCGCAGCAAUGCGCUCAGUUGACCGGUACUAAUCGCCCGAUAGGCUUGAUUUGAUCCAG
rnacentral:rRNA from 1 species